CACGUAGGGUGCGAGCGUUGUCCGGAAUUAUUGGGCGUAAAGAGCUCGUAGGCGGUGUGUCGCGUCGGCCGUGAAAACCUGCAGCUUAACUGUGGGCGUGCGGUCGAUACGGGCAUCACUGGAGUUCGGCAGGGGAGACUGGAAUUCCUGGUGUAGCGGUGAAAUGCGCAAAUAUCAGGAGGAACACCGGUGGCGAAGGCGGGUCUACUGGGCCGAUACUGACGGCUGAGACGCGAAAGCGUGGGGAGCGAACCGG
rnacentral:rRNA from 1 species